GUAGUACUCCCUCCGUCCAGAAAUACUUGUCAUCAAAAUGAAUAAAAGGGGAUGUAUCUAGAUGUAUAUUAGUUCUAGAUACAUCUUUUUUAUCCAUUUUGAUGACAAGUAUUUUCGGACGGAGGGAGUACUUG
rnacentral:pre_miRNA from 1 species